rnacentral:rRNA from 1 species
GGACGAACGCUGGCGGCGUGCUUAACACAUGCAAGUCGAGCGGUAAGGCCCUUUCGGGGGGUACACGAGCGGCGAACGGGUGAGUAACACGUGGGUGACCUGCCCUCAGCUCUGGGAUAAGCCUGGGGAAACCGGGUCUAAUACUGGAUAUGACUCCAUGACGCAUGUUGUGGGGUGGAAAGCCUUGUGCGGCUGAGGAUGGGCCCGCGGCCUAUCAGCUUGUUGGUGGGGUGANGGCCUACCAAGGCGACGACGGGUAGCCGGCCUGAGAGGGCGACCGGCCACACUGGGACUGAGACACGGCCCAGACUCCUACGGGAGGCAGCAGUGGGGAAUCUUGCGCAAUGGGCGAAAGCCUGACGCAAGCGACG